GUGGAGUGGAGCUUGUUGUUCGUGUCACUGUUUGAAGAAACUGUGGAGUCCCGCCUCCUUCCAGGAGAUACCUCACUUGUGUCUCUGUGUUUAGUGUCCAGGUGUGGAGUGGAGCUUGUUGUUUGCGUCUCUGUGCGAAGAAACUGUGAAGGUAGAAAGUGUUUUU